rnacentral:rRNA from 1 species
AACGAACGCUGGCGGCGUGGAUUAGGCAUGCAAGUCGAACGAGGGAGUGUUCCGAAAGGGGCGCAAACCGAGUGGCGUAAGGGUGAGUAAUGCAUUGAUAACCUACCUAUGAGACGGGGAUAACAACGUUCCGCAAGGGACUCCCGAAAGGGUUGCUAAUACCCGAUAAAACUCUUGAUGUUUAGGCAUUGGGAGUCAAAGUUUGGGGCUGAAAGGUUCCAUGUGCUCAGAGAGGGGUCAAUGUCCUAUCAGCUAGUUGGUAGGGUAAAGGCCUACCAAGGCGAAGACGGGUAGCCGGCCUGAGAGGGUGGUCGGCCACAUUGGGACUGAGACACUGCCCAGACUCCUACGGGAGGCUGCAGUCGAGAAUCUUUCGCAAUGCCCGGAAGGGUGACGAAGCGACGCCGCGUGUGGGAAGAAGGCCUUCGGGUUGUAAACCACUGUCGGGAGUUAAGAAGUGUAAGGGGGUGAAUAGUCUCCUUACUUGACGUUAGCUCCGGAGGAAGCCACGGCUAACUCUGUGCCAGCAGCCGCGGUAAUACAGAGGUGGCAAGCGUUGUUCGGAAUUAUUGGGCGUAAAGAGCACGUAGGCGGCCCUGCAAGUCAGCUGUGAAAUCCUUCUGCUCAACGGAAGAACGGCAGUUGAUACUAUGGGGCUCGAGUGCGGGAGGGGAGAGUGGAACUUCUGGUGGAGCGGUGAAAUGCGUAGAUAUCAGAAGGAACAUCGGCGGCGAAGGCGACUCUCUGGCCCGUAACUGACGCUGAGGUGCGAAAGCUAGGGGAGCAAACGGGAUUAGAUACCCCGGUAGUCCUAGCCGUAAACGAUGGGCACUCGGUAGAGGGGUUUUGAUUAUCUCUCUGCCUGAGCUAACGCGUUAAGUGCCCCGCCUGGGGAGUACGGCCGCAAGGCUA